CACGUAGGGUGCGAGCGUUGUCCGGAAUUAUUGGGCGUAAAGAGCUCGUAGGCGGUGUGUCGCGUCGGCCGUGAAAACCUGCAGCUUAACUGUGGGCUUGCGGUCGAUACGGGCAUCACUGGAGUUCGGCAGGGGAGACUGGAAUUCCUGGUGUAGCGGUGGAAUGCGCAGAUAUCAGGAGGAACACCGAUGGCGAAGGCAGGUCUCUGGGCCAUUACUGACACUGAGAAGCGAAAGCAUGGGGAGCGAACAGG
rnacentral:rRNA from 1 species